UUUUAUUUCAUUGCAUUGGUUGGGGCCACCUUACAAAACUUCCAUUUGAUUUAAUAAUGUAAUUUCUGAAUUUCAUUUUAUGCAAUAGAUUACAAUAAUUCCUUUAUGGUGAAUGACAUAUGGACCAAACAUGAUUGUUCUCCCUCGGCUUCCUCCUUCCUGAGUUUGGAGGAAAACAGGAAUUUGUUUCUGCAACAUAUAGACCAUUAAAUUCUUUGUCGUUUGGUGUUUCUCUCAAGCACACUCCCUGGAGUUUCUGUUCUUAAAAAGCAUCUUUCUGUGUCUAACUCUUUUGCUACCGUUCUUAUCAUCUCUUGCAUCAAAUCAAAGCACUUGGACAAUGUCUCCUAAAACAACCACCAUCAAUGUGUAGACGCUAUAGCAGCAAAGAAUAAAAAAAAUUUGCUUUUAAGCGUAGUGAUUGAAUGUAAACUUUACCUCAUCUAGGUACUCACUGGAUAUAAUUGAAGCUCUCAGAAUAGAAUAUUGAUGAGGGAGUAGUUCAUGCGAUGCAAUGAUGAGGGCAGUUGCUGCAAUAGUUGAAGGCUUAUACUCUAAAAGCUUAAUGUCUGCAGACAUAAGAGAGAUGCAAUUCAGAGUUUGUGAUUGUUGGAGUUGAAGAUAAAAUCAAGUUAUACGUAUGAAUGGAAACAAGCCACUUACCAUUUUGAGCAUUGAAGAUUAUAGCAGAAGCCCUCUCUUUGAGUGCUUGCUUCAGUGAGUGGUCAUCAAUUUCAGCUAAAGAGAUGAAGAAGCGCAGGAAAGAAAAAGGUGUAAUUGACCUCAUACGCCAUUUCAGUGCCCCGAGAAUCAGAGGCUCCAUUCUCUGAAUACUUUGAACCUUAAAGUUACAACCUUCUUUCUGUUUCAUGAUCAUAAACACCACAUUUUCAAGUUACUAUGCCAUGGUUGGAGAUUGUUUUUCUAUUAAAAUGAUUCUAAUUACGUGAAUUUGAAGAUUUACCAGCAUUUCCAAAAAUGGCAAAGUUGUGUUUUUCAUCUUUGAAGCAAGAGAGAGACACGAUACGACAACAAGCCUAAGAUACCACGGAUUCCCCUUCUGCAAACUCAGGACUAAUGGCAUCAGGGUAACAUUGGAAAUUAUGGAAACGUAUUAAGAAUAUUAAACAGUUCCCAUAACUCAUGAUGGAAGAGUGAAUCGACAUGAAUGCAGAGUUGUUCACAUGAUGACGAUGAUGAAGAAGGGAAGGGUGUCAGAAACGUCUCGCUUGACUUGACCGUGGUCUGGCUUGGGGAUUAUCUGUAACGUUUUGGCCAUUGGGGUCUCGAGGGACAUUCAAUUGUUUGUCUUUACCAACAUUUACCACAUUACAUGUGACUUUGGUUUCACAAACAUCUAACUCAGUACAGUCUAUGGGUCAAAUCUUCCCAAAAUUUCAAAAUAUCAAACAUAAAACAUAAAUCCAG
rnacentral:sRNA from 1 species